AUUGAACGCUGGCGGCAGGCUUAACACAUGCAAGUCGAACGAGUGGCGGACGGGUGAGUAAUGUCUGGGAAACUGCCUGAUGGAGGGGGAUAACUACUGGAAACGGUAGCUAAUACCGCAUACCAUCGGAUGUGCCCAGAUGGGAUUAGCUAGUAGGUGGGGUAACGGCUCACCUAGGCGACGAUCCCUAGCUGGUCUGAGAGGAUGACCAGCCACACUGGAACGGAGCCACGGUCCAGACUCCUACGGGAGGCAGCAGCGGGGAAUAUUGAACAAUGGGCGCAAGCCUGAUGCAGCCCUGCCGCGUGUAUGAAGAAGGCCUUCGGGUUGUAAAGGACUUGCAGCGGGGAGGCGUUACCCGCAGAAGAAGCACCGGCUAACUACGUGCCAGCAGCCGCGGUAAUAC
rnacentral:rRNA from 1 species